CCCUACGGGGGGCAGCAGUGAGGAAUAUUGGUCAAUGGGCGAGAGCCUGAACCAGCCAAGUCGCGUGAGGGAAGACGGUCCUAUGGAUUGUAAACCUCUUUUGUCGGGGAGCAAAAAGGCCUCGUGAGGCCACAAGUGAGAGUACCCGAAGAAAAAGCAUCGGCUAACUCCGUGCCAGCAGCCGCGGUAAUACGGAGGAUGCGAGCGUUAUCCGGAUUUAUUGGGUUUAAAGGGUGCGUAGGCGGAAGGUUAAGUCAGCGGUCAAAUGUCGGUGCUCAACACCGGCCUGCCGUUGAAACUGGUCU
rnacentral:rRNA from 1 species